UAUUUUAUGAGUCUUUAAGUGUCCUUAGCAGAACGAGCAACCACAAUUUGGUCUUGAUAUUUGAAUUAAGAAACAUUGAUGGAAUUGUUAUAAUUCAUGAAUUGGACCGAACAUGUAUGUUUAUAUAGUGAGUGAAUAUUGACAAAGGAAUGAGAGAUUAACAUGUAAUAAUACAUAAUAAGGGGCUAGUACAAAGAGCUGGUACAAAUUAAUAAGGGCC
rnacentral:lncRNA from 1 species